rnacentral:rRNA from 1 species
AACGAACGCUGGCGGCAUGCCUAACACAUGCAAGUCGAACGAGACCUUCGGGUCUAGUGGCGCACGGGUGCGUAACGCGUGGGAACCUGCCCUUAGGUUCGGAAUAACUCCCCGAAAGGGGUGCUAAUACCGGAUAAUGUCUUCGGACCAAAGAUUUAUCGCCUUUGGAUGGGCCCGCGUUGGAUUAGCUAGUUGGUAGGGUAAAAGCCUACCAAGGCGACGAUCCAUAGCUGGUCUGAGAGGAUGAUCAGCCACACUGGGACUGAGACACGGCCCAGACCCCUACGGGGGGCAGCAGUGGGGAAUAUUGGACAAUGGGCGAAAGCCUGAUCCAGCAAUGCCGGGUGAGUGAUGAAGGCCUUAGGGUUGUAAAGCUCUUUUACCCGGGAUGAUAAUGACAGGACCGGGAGAAUAAGCUCCGGCUAACUCCGU